AGCAGGGGAAGAGUUUGCCUUCUCAGUCCCAUCUUUGUAUACUGACUAUGAUAGAGAAGUACAAGAAGAUAGUCUUGGACCAUGGUGCAUUUGAAAGUCCCCACUCUUCUUGAAGUUAUCGUUGACCAGUUACUUGGAUUGCACAGUGUGUAAGGAGCACUGGCUUUUAGGAAAUGUUCCUCUUUGGGGCACUCUGCGGACAUGGGCAGUGGAACGAGCUGGAGUCCAGGAGCCAGGGAUCUUGGGUCACCAGGACGACUCAUGAAUCUGAAAGGGGCCGUCUUCAUGCUCAUCAUCUCCCUCCUCAGUUUUUCCCCAUAUACAGGAUGAGGAGGAGAAUAAUAAGCAGUUGAAGAAGUUCUAUCCAGUUCUAAACGCUGGGACUCAUAGUAGAUGGAGCAUAGAAAGUAACUUUUAGCUUUUAAUCCUACUCAAAAAAAAAAAAAGCA